rfam:Aedes albopictus isolate Foshan contig12019, whole genome shotgun sequence.
GUCCAGUUAGCCUAGUGGUUAAGGCUAUGGACCACCAAUCUGGAGACGGCGGGUUCGAUUCCCGUUUCGGCCG